rnacentral:rRNA from 1 species
CUUGCUUCUCUUGAGAGCGGCGGACGGGUGAGUAAUGCCUAGGAAUCUGCCUGGUAGUGGGGGAUAACGUUCGGAAACGGACGCUAAUACCGCAUACGUCCUACGGGAGAAAGCAGGGGACCUUCGGGCCUUGCGCUAUCAGAUGAGCCUAGGUCGGAUUAGCUAGUUGGUGGGGUAAUGGCUCACCAAGGCGACGAUCCGUAACUGGUCUGAGAGGAUGAUCAGUCACACUGGAACUGAGACACGGUCCAGACUCCUACGGGAGGCAGCAGUGGGGAAUAUUGGACAAUGGGCGAAAGCCUGAUCCAGCCAUGCCGCGUGUGUGAAGAAGGUCUUCGGAUUGUAAAGCACUUUAAGUUGGGAGGAAGGGUUGUAGAUUAAUACUCUGCAAUUUUGACGUUACCGACAGAAUAAGCACCGGCUAACUCUGUGCCAGCAGCCGCGGUAAUACAGAGGGUGCAAGCGUUAAUCGGAAUUACUGGGCGUAAAGCGCGCGUAGGUGGUUUGUUAAGUUGGAUGUGAAAUCCCCGGGCUCAACCUGGGAACUGCAUUCAAAACUGACUGACUAGAGUAUGGUAGAGGGUGGUGGAAUUUCCUGUGUAGCGGUGAAAUGCGUAGAUAUAGGAAGGAACACCAGUGGCGAAAGCGACCACCUGGACUAAUACUGACACUGAGUGCGAAAGCGUGGGGAGCAAACAGGAUUAGAUACCCUGGUAGUCCACGCCGUAAACGAUGUCACUAGCCGUUGG